UGUACGGGUCAAAUCUUGCAAGUUAAAUUUGACCCACUUCCCGGUUUCCGAUGAAGCUGAAAAUUUGCAUACUCGGGUGAUAAUGCAAUAUUAUGGUACCAUCGAGCUGAUCUGAUGAUGAAGACAGGAGGUGGUCUUAGGAACUCUGUGAUAAAACAACGCAACCUAAUUCUGUUUGGGGUUUUUAGAAUUGACUCAAUGAGUAUUAGUUGCCUGUGGAAAAAAGUACAGUCAGCGAUAAAAGCUUGUACUAAAAAUUAAAUUUUUGCCAAAAACUUA